rnacentral:misc_RNA from 1 species
GUAUUCUCUAACAAAAUGGCGAAGCAUCAUCCAGAUUUGAUUUUCUGUCGAAAGCAACCGGGCGUUGCUAUUGGGAGACUGUGCGAAAAAUGUGAUGGGGAAAUGUGUUAUCUGUGACUCGUACGUGCGUCCAUGUACGCUGGUCCGGAUCUGCGACGAAUGUAACUACGGGUCCUACCAGGGUCGGUGUGUGAUCUGCGGAGGGCCAGGGGUGUCCGAUGCCUACUACUGCAAGGAAUGCACUAUAAUGGAGAAAGAUAGAGAUGGGUGUCCUAAAAUUGUGAAUUUGGGCAGUGCCAAGACAGACUUGUUUUAUGAGAGAAAGAAAUAUGGCUUCAAGAAAAGGUGACCUGUGUGUGCUUUUGUCUCACCUUAUCAAAUCAAAGACAUUUCACCAUUUCCAUGGUAAAACAUUUUCGAGAGCCAUAAGACAUCCUGUUUUCUUCUAUAUGACAUAUGGACGACAUCGGCGGGCAACAUCCUCAUUCCACAACAGGCGGUGUCACUUGACAUCAAGUACAAGACUUAAACACACAACAUUGUGUGAAAAUUAUUGUGUCUGAUGUCACAUACUUGAUUUUAUGGGAAGCAUGCUAAUAAAUCUUUUUAGAAAUAAAA